rnacentral:rRNA from 1 species
GAGCAACGCCGCGUGAGUGAUGAAGGUUCUUCGGAUCGUAAAACUCUGUUGUAAGGGAAGAACAAGUGCGUCUAGGUAAUGAACGCACCUGUGGACGGUACCUUGAUAUAGAAAGCCACGGCUAACUACGUGCCAGCAGCCGCGGUAAUACGUAGUGUGGCAAGCGUUGUCCGGAUUUAUUGGGCGUAAAGCGCGCGCAGUGUGGUUUCUUAAGUCGUGAUGUGAAAGCCCACGGCUCAACCGUGUGAGGGUCAUUGGAAACUGGGGAACUUGAGUGCAGAAGAGGAUAGUGGAAUUCCAAGUGUAGCGGUGAAAUGCGUAGAGAUUUGGAGGAACACCAGUGGCGAAGGCGACUGUCUGGUCUGUAACUGACACUGAGGCGCGAAAGCGUGGGGAGCAAACAGGAUUAGAUACCCUGGUAGUCCACGCCGUAAACGAUGAGUGCUAAGUGUUAGGGGGUUUCCGCCCCUUAGUGCUGCAGCUAACGCAUUAAGCACUCCGCCUGGGGAGUACGACCGCAAGGUUGAAACUCAAAGGAAUUGACGGGGGCCCGCACAAGCGGUGGAGCAUGUG